UGCCCCAUGGCUGAGUUGGUUACAGCGUCCGACUGUUAAUCGGAAGGUCGUGAGUUCGACCCUCACUGGGGCAG
rnacentral:tRNA from 1 species